CUGGGAGUUAAAAAAAAUUCUGCCGUAGCCUACCGCCUCAUGACUUUGAGUCUGUCUGUAUUACACCAAGACAACAUAGAAGUUAUGAGCCUUGUGAAGGAGGUGCCUGCUUCGCCUUCCUCCAUGAUUGUAAAUUUCCUGAGGCCUCAUCAGCCAUGUGGAACUACUACAGAAUCCUGGCGAGGAACCUAUUCCUAUAUUUACCUCCAUCUCUCUGGUACCUGGCCUAAGUCUACACAGUAGGUAUGUAAACAUUGUUGAACAAAUAUAUGCUGUUCUUAUCACAAGUGUUGGUAGUAGGAUUACCAGUGUCUAUGUUUUACGUAAGAGAAAGCAGCUUCCAAAAAAGGUUGGGAUCUGUUCAGGCCUCAGCUUCGAAGUGCAGGCCUUCUAAUAAUAGAGACUGAAUUUUUCCACUUAUGUCUGGCUACAUGCAACAGACGCAGCUUUGAAUUUGGAGCUUCUGUGUUCCUUCUUGCUAGAUCCAGGAAUGGAAGUGGGUUAGGUGCCUGUUUGCUGGCCUUGUGAUUAACACAGCAUCACUUGACCUCUAGGACAUUCUUGUUGAUUUCUGUGGGCCAUUCCCAUUGGCAGCUGGGGUGGGAGGCAGGGGCAGGUGUCUAAAUAGAAUAAGGCUACUCUAACUACCUUAGAGUUUUACAGAGCCUCAAAUAAGAGAAUGGGUGUGAAAACUUUUUUUUUUUAAUUUGUAAGAACACUAUACCAAAAGGCAUACUGUUAAUAAUGAUUGCUGGGCACAGUGGUUCACCCUUGUAAUUCCAGCAUAUUGGGUGGCCAAGGCAGGAGGAUGGUUGAGCCCAGGAGUUCAAGACCAGCCUGGGCAACACGGCAAAACUCUCUCUACAAAAAAUAACAAAAAUUAGCCAGGCAUGCUGUCAUGCACCUGUAGUUCCAGCUACUCAGGAGACUGUGGUGGGAGGAUCACCUGAGCCUGGUGAGAUCGAGACUGCAAUGAGCCAUAAUUGCACCCCUGUACUCCAGCCUAGGUGACAGAGUGAAACCUUGUCUCAAAAUUAAUAGUAAAAAUGAUGAUAAAUAAAUUAUUAGGUUCAUUUACCGUUAGGCUCUUGUAUUCACUUUUCAUAGUGUGAAUAAGUUUGUGCUGUCAAAUCUUGCUCACACUGGCCUAGGCAAUUCUCUGACUUCCUGGAUUCCUCUAGAAUUUACUUUGUAUUUUCACAUGUUUUGUAGUGGUUUGCUCCAGUGGAUGUCUACUUCUGGACUUUUUCAUUUUAGGACUUCCUGGUUUUAGAGUACUGCCUUGUGUGCCUGCCACUUUCAGGUUUUGGAGGAGAGUACAUAUUAGGCAAUUUUUCCCUUUUAUUUAACCUUUUCUACCACAAUUGAGCAACUUAAGAAACUGUUCUCUGAUAUUUCUCAGUCUUAACAGUGACACAAGUUCUAUGGGGCAAUAUUAUUCUAUUUUAAAAUGUCUUUAUCUUACUCAAUUCACUUGGCUUGCUGUUUGCCUGAUUGGCUAGACAUUGGAAACUGUGGAAGACAUUUUCACAAUGGUUUGACAUUUCAAACUCCAUGCAAAUGUUGAAAACUAGGAAACUUCCAGAAACCCUAAUGUCAGACCAAAAUUUAAUUUAAAAUGUUUAAUACAUGAGCUAUUCAAAUGUUUCCAGAUUUAUCCUGAAAUCUGCUCCAGGAGUUCUGUACAUCUCAUGUUGCAGGUAAGAAAUGGAAGCCGGACACACAGUGGGUUGUUUAGGGUCAUGAACUCUGGUGGGAGGAGAAUCUCAGACGCCUGGCUGAGUUUCCCUAAGUCGCACCACCUGCCUUGCAGUGGUCUGGGCACCUGUUGCUGCAGAGAGUUGCCAACCCCAUAUCCUGUGAGUCUCCGUCCUUGAGCACCAAGUAUCUAAUCACUCUUUCUCUCUCAGGGCUGCGGUGCUGUGAAGAUUUCGGCAUCCUGCACUCAUGGCCAUGUUUAGUCUAUGGUCACAUUGACACUAGAGAGUUUCAGGGACCAGUGCAGUAUGCCCAGGUCUGACAUGGGCUUCCAAAAUGUAUGUGAACAGAGUAAGAAUGAUACUUUUUUGCUUUUCAAAAUAUUUCACAGCUUAGGUGGCACUUACCCUUAUCCCUUCUUUUCUGUCUUUACUGAUAAAUACUCAUCACCUUAGAUUAUUUUAACAUCUAACAACUUUCAGUUGCAAUUAGAAAAUAUCUUUAGACAUGUUAAUUAUAAAAAUAUUCUUCAUUUAUGAAAUUGAUUACGCCUAGUGACUUCAUUCACCAAUUGUCUCAAAAUCUUGCCUUUAAACUACCCUCAGGAGGAAUCUCCAUGUUCACAAAAGAAAAGAGGGCAAAGGCCAGGCACAGUGGCUCACACCUAUAAUCCCAGCACUUUGAGAGGCUGAGGUGGGAGGAUUGCUUGAACCUAGGAGUUCCAGACCAGCGUGGGCAACAUGAUGAAACCCCGUCUCUACUAAAAAUACAAAAAAAUUAGCUGGGCGUGGAGGUGCCCCUGUGGUCCCAGUUACUUGGGAGGAUGUAGUGGAAGGAUUAUCUGAGCUUAGGGGGUUGAGGCUGCAGUGAGUCACUGCACUCCAGCCUGGACAACAGACCCAGACUCUGUCUCAAAGAAAAGAAGAGAAAAGAAGGAAAGGGAGGAGGGAGGAGGGAAGAGGGAGAAGGGAGAAGGGAGAAAGGAGAAGGGAAGGGAAGGGAAAGGAAGGGAAGGGAAAGUGGGCACAGAAGGAAAGCCGAGUGGAAGGGAAAGUGGGCACAGAAGGAAAGCCGAGUGGGAAUAGAAGCAAAGCCAGAGGUGUCCCUCUUAUCUCUCAGAGUGUUCUAUAUUUAUAAAUCCAUUGAGUCCAUUUUCCCUAUGCCUUUAGAGAAAUCACUGAGUCUCUGGGGGCAGGGUGGGGACUUGGGUAAAUUCAGUUAAAGGUGAUUUUAGAAAUACUCUGUUCUCUGACGUAAGCCACCCUUGCUCUGGUGGGCACCUGGUUCACCUCUGAGCAGCAGUGACCAUCUGAAAUGCUCCUUUAUGCUGAAUCCAAAUCUCAGUUCCCCUCAUGUUAUUUAUUGAAGAAAAUAAUCCCUGUGCCUGAAACAGGUACUAUGAAAGAUAUUACCUUUCUAUUUAUAGAAAUUAUAAUUAUAGAAAUUAUAAUCUAUUUAUAGAGAUUAUAAUUAUAGAGAUAAAGAAAAUGUCUCUUUGCUUUCCAGUUAAUCUGAGUGUAGCCACGUUGGAAACCAUGCCUUAAAAAGCGAAUUACAAAGAUGAAUACAGUGACAAAUACAGUACAAUUUGAUAAAGUUAUUUGGACAUGGAAAUCCCCAUGGAGUACUGGCCGCAUAAACUGUGAACUUAGGCAAAGCACCACUGUCGCAAAUGUGACACUUUACCCAAAUUAUAGGCCUUGGGCAAAAAGCAAGUAACUUCAGAAUCCAAACUUGCAAAUAUGCUAACACACACAAGGGCUUUAAGUAGCUGUAGGAUCAAAGGCAAGAUUUUAAAACUCAGGUUGAUUGGGAUGUAAUUUGCAUAGUAAAAUUUACCCAUGUUAGUAUGAGUUUUGAUCAAUGCAUUCAGCCAUCAUGAUAUAGAACAGUUCCAUCAUCCAGAAAACUUCUCUGGUGUGCUUUUGUAAUCAACCCCUCCCCUCACUGCCAAGCCUUGGCAACCACUGGUUCAUAAUCUGUAUAAUUUGAAGACAGGAUUCUUAAUCUUUGUAAGUCUUGGUUUUCUGAUUCAUCAUAUGAGAAUACUAACACCAUCAUCUCUGUCAUAGAGUUGUUGAAACGAUUAAGUAAGAUCAUACAUGUAAAAUGCUUGGUACAUGCGUGGUGCAACAAGCACUAAAUAAGUCUUAGUGAUUUAUUAUUAUUAUUAAAAUGCUGAGUAUUGAGAAGUUGUAACCCAGAAGACACAAUAGCAUAAGUAAGAGUAAGUUCGAGUUUGUAAAACACAAUCUUCCAUGUAAUAUAGAAGCUUUUUUUUUUGAAAAACAGAGUCUCAUUCUGUCGCCCAGGCUGGAGUGUAGUGGCACAAUCUCAGCUCAGUGCAAGCUCCACCUCCCAGGUUCAAGCAAUUCUUCUGCCUCAGCUUCCCAAGUAGCUAGAAUUACAGGCAUGCACCACUAAACCC